AUAAAGAGAUGUUUAACUCCUCUCUCACUGGAAGUGAGAGAGCAAUUGCUAAACGUCAAAACCACCUAAACUCGAGCAACUGUCAAAGUUUAGGUGGUUUUGACGUUUAGCAAUUGGAAAAGAGGGACGACCAGAUUAAAAUCCCGCCAAAUUAUUGUUCGAAUGGAGAGAUUUUUCAUUAUUUUGUCUCCAUUUGUAACGGCCAUUAGUUCGAAGAAUACCGAAGGCGAAACAGCACGCAGAUUGAAAGAUAUAAAAUGCCGAAGACAACCAGCAGUUGGAGAAAAUGCAUUGUUGGCUGCAACGAGGGAGGAAGAACAUUUAGCUUUCCAAACAGUGGAACGGAUCUCGAACGGCGUAAAUGUUGGCUCAAACGUUUAGGUGUUUUUGAAGAUCUGAGCGAAAAAACACCUAAACACAUUUUUGCGUGCGAGCGGCAUUUUUCUAAUGAAAUGCGUAACGCGAAAAAAUUGCGUCCGAGAGCCGUUCCGGACAUAAAUUUAAUUGAGCCAAUAUUUAACGCCCCAAAUUCUGAAAAUAUAAUUGAAAUAGGCGUUGAAGAUUUUUUUCCCCAAAUGGAAGGAACUGCCUCAAAUGCAACCGGUGCAUCGAGGCAGCUGCUUCCACUUUUAGAAAGGGAAGACCGGGAAAAUAUUUUAGAGCCUCUGCCACUUCUUGAGGAGGAACUACUAAAGAGUAGUGAAAAGGCCGCGCAAACAGGUAGGGGUCUGACAGCAGGGACAGAUAGAAAAAAAAAAAUUGAGAGAAGAAAAUAGAAUUUUAAAAAUAAAAUUAGACGAAAAAGAACAGGAGAAUAGGAGUUUAAAAGCUCAGUUGGUCCAAAUGGCAACUGAAUUAGAAAGAUGUAGGGAAAUGUUAAGAAAUAGUUCAUUUAGGGAAGAGUCAGAUCCGCUUG